rnacentral:rRNA from 1 species
UACGUAGGGUGCAAGCGUUAAUCGGAAUUACUGGGCGUAAAGGGCGCGUAGGCGGCCUUCUAAGUCGGACGUGAAAUCCCUCGGCUUAACCGAGGAACUGCGUCCGAUACUGAAAGGCUUGAAUCCGGGAGAGGGAUGUGGAAUUCCAGGUGUAGCGGUGAAAUGCGUAGAUAUCUGGAGGAACACCGGUGGCGAAGGCGGCAUCCUGGACCGGUAUUGACGCUGAUGCGCGAAAGCCAGGGGAGCAAACAGG